GUUCUCUCAGAGCUGCACCUGGAGAGUUUCCGGUACUCUACCAGUCUCGACUACGGGAGGGAGAGUUAAGCAGAGGCAUAUCCAUUCCAUUCCUAGCUUGGGCAGUGGCUAGUGAGUGGAAGACAAUCUGCUACAAGU